CUACUAGGAGACUGCCGGUGACAAACCGGAGGAAGGUGGGGAUGACGUCAAGUCAUCAUGGCCCUUACGGCCUGGGCUACACACGUGCUACAAUGGUCGGUACAAAGGGUUGCCAAGCCGCGAGGUGGAGCUAAUCCCAUAAAACCGAUCGUAGUCCGGAUCGCAGUCUGCAACUCGACUGCGUGAAGUCGGAAUCGCUAGUAAUCGUGAAUCAGAAUGUCACGGUGAAUACGUUCCCGGGCCUU
rnacentral:rRNA from 1 species